CCUACGGGAGGCAGCAGUGGGGGAUAUUGCACAAUGGGGGGAACCCUGAUGCAGCGACGCCGCGUGGGUGAAGAAGCGCCUCGGCGCGUAAAGCCCUGUCAGCAGGGAAGAAAAUGACGGUACCUGAAGAAGAAGCCCCGGCCAACUACGUGCCAGCAGCCGCGGUAAUACGUAGGGGGCAAGCGUUAUCCGGAUUUACUGGGUGUAAAGCGCUCGUAGGCGGUAUGUCAUGUCAAGGGUGAAAUCCCCGCGCUCAACGUGGGAACGGCCUUUGAAACUGGCAAACUGGAGGGUGUGAGAGGAUAGUGGAAUUCCAGGUGUAGGAGUGAAAUGCGUAGAUAUAUGGAGGAACAUCAGUGGCGAAGGCGACUAUCUGGCACAUAACUGACGCUGAGGAGCGAAAGCGUGUGUAGCAAACAGGAUUAGAUACCCCAGUAGUC
rnacentral:rRNA from 1 species